GCGCCCAGGGCCACCUUUUGUCCCCGGGCCCCCGCCACCCAGGCAUCCAGGCAGAGUUUCCCCAAACUCCAGCGACCCCGCUUGCCUCCGGAAAGAGUUGUGCUGUGCCCCGUCCCCCCCCCCCGUGUCCCCCCCCCCGGUCCAUAAAAGCCUGACAACACCAAGUCACCGAGGGGCUCGCACACAGCGUGCCGAUGGGGAGGAGGAGGAGGAGGAGGAGGAAGGCACAGGGGGGUGCUCCCAGCCCCUGCCCCCCGGCCUCGCACCCACCUGUCCCUGGGGUCGAUCCAGCUGGUCUGCUUGGUGUUGUGGUCAAUGUAGAAGACUUUGCCGUCGUAAUCCCUCGCCUCCUCCCAGCCAUCGGAAACACCAGCAGAGAAUGUCUAUGUACUGUGUGCACAGAGCCAUCCCGGCCUGCAAAGCAGCCGCCUAUGUUGCAUUAAGUAUAGAAAGCAGGUGUGAGUUACUCUACGUUUAUCUCAUGUUUGCCACAGGAGAAGAGCAUGUGAGGCUAGUUACCAUGGCUCAGCUGAUAGAAGCUGCAAGACAGAAGCAUUCCAUGAGCACGCCUGCGUUUUCCUGCAUUAUUUAUAAUUUUAUUACUUCCAUCCAGGAAUGGACCCAUACCAUUGGUGAUAUCAGAACUAUACAAAAUCAAAAUACAGGACUGAAAGUGGACCUAUCUUCUUGAGCUCUGCAUUCUGUGCAAGUUGACAUACAUCUUAAGGUUUUCCAAGCAAGGAUUUGUAUAUACCUUUAUGUUAUUCCAUUCUGAUUAAAUUAAUGUAGCGAUAAAAAUUUUAAAAAGGUUAUUUUACUUUAGUCACAAUGUUUAGUGUAAUACCAUCCAUUAAUCUUAAAAUCCACAAAAUUUAUCUGGGAAGGCCACAAAAUUUCCCAUAUUUUUUUCAAAAAUAAGGGCUAAUUGCUAUAAUACUAUCAAGAAUACCAUUCUAGACCUUACUUCAGCACUGCUGCUCUUGGUACCUCAUUGGUACUGCUUUUCACAAUGUGUAAUGUUAAACUAACUGCAAAAUAAUGUGGACUAUCUUUCUAUUGGUUAGUCUGGAAUUGUUUUGUAAAAAAUACAGUAACUGUGUUUCUAUAAGGUAAUUUUGGAACCCAAGAAAACAUAAUAAAAAAGCUGGGCUUAGAGAAAAUCUUUAAUCUUGAGUUCCUUCUGCUAAAGACCUAUUUGACAUUUUACCAAAUCUGAGGACUUUUCAUUUCUCAUCUAUUCCCAGAUGACCCUUCCUUUCUGAACCCUCCUCCCUCUCCAAAAAUCUUGCUCGCCUUUCCUUCAGGGCCGGCUUGACAAACAGAUGUAGUGGUAAAGGAUUAUCACUUAUGCUGCUGCUCUGACUCACCCAGUCUGCCCGGAAGAGCUAUCCUAAGAGCACAGAAAUGAACACAACCCUUUGCUGUAGCAUGUCAGAGUCUGGGCAUUUUCCUGCCCUAUUUGAGCUUUAUGUCUCAAAUUAAUGAACACGUACUAUUUCCCACACCCCAGGAUUUUAGAGGGAACUUUCUGAGCCAGCAUCCUGUGACAUUAGAAAGCAGCAGACCGGGUUGGUCUCUGGAGGAGCAGCACCUGGAGCUCUCCUUCCUGCUGGAAGCAGUAGGGACAGCACUAGAUAUUUUGCCUCCUGGACCAUGGAAACGGGCAGCUUCUGCCUUGGCAGCCAGGCUCCAUUGCUUCACUGAGCGGGCCUGACUGGUUGCAUUCUCAUCCUGCUGCCAUCUGCACGGUGUUAAGUAGGGAGGAUGCUGGCAUGCCUCUCUCCUCUUAGCAAAGCAGAUUAACAGGGCUUUGCUCAUUGCUCAAGGUUUCAUGUUUUCUGCAGACAUUACAAGAGGUAUUAUGCAUACCAAGAUCUACUUUCAAACUUCCUUCCAAACCACUAGCCUAAGCUUUUGACAAGUACUGAUUACCAUCUGAUAAUUUCAAAAUAAUAAUAUUAUUCCAGAGGGUUCUAAAAUCAAGUUUAAGUUUAAAACGGGUGCAGGGAGGGAAUGAAUCAGAGUCAAUUGUGUUAAUACAUUAAUUACACUAAUACUAAUAAAUUUAUAUGUUUAAAUUAAAAUAUCCAGGUUUAUACUAUUAAAUCCAGAGGGCAAAAAAGUGUUGCAAACAGGUGAACAAAAGUUUUCCCCUGGCAGGAUAAAAUCAUGCGAAGCAAAGGAUUCACAGUGUUUCAGAAAGCCUGAGGAAGUUUCAGAGUUCAGUCUUUCUAGCCUAUUCCUAACAGAUUCAAAUGUGUCUGUAUGCUUAGAUUUUAAGAUAGCAUGUGGAUAACAGGUCAUGCAUGUGCAUUUAGGGUGUUUUGGAGGAGCUGAACUUUGUAAAUUAGCAGAUGCUUGGAAGCAUAGCGAAAUACCGUUUGAAGUUAAAUAGUAAAAACAAUAGUAUGCAUGUACAUUUACAAUUUGACAAUACAUUAGAUUUUGCUAUUCUCUCCUAAGAAUGAUACCUUUAAUCUCUUGCUGCAUCUGAACAUUCAUUUGACAAACAUAACCACAAUUUUUUUCAUCAAUAUUACAAAAACCGUGCCUCAAAUAAAAAUGUUGUUCUCAUGGGACAAAACGUUAGAUAAUAUAUGCAGAAGUUACAGUAGCAUCCAGGAGUUCGUAUUUUGUAGCUGUUUUCAUUAGGGAAAACCUUUAUUAACAUUUAGCAUUUCUUUCAUCAGCAAAGUGCUUUCAAAACAUUUGCUAAUUAAAACCUUUAUAUCUUUUAGACAGUAGAAGUGCCUUUUCCAGCCUGUACAUGCAAUGUAACUUAUUUUAUUAGUGGUUUGGUAAUAAAGUCAGAUAAACCUUUGAUUUAAUAAUUAGCAUUUAUAGAGUGCUUUCUGCCUUCAAAGCACUUUGCAAACAUUAACUAAUUAAUUCUUGCAACUCCCCUGUAAUUUGGGGAUGCAAGCAUAUUCGUAUACAUUUGCAUGUAGUUUAGGGAAGAAAGUAUUAUCUGAGGCAUUUUGUGAAACAAGAGAAUUAAGACAUAUAAAUUAAGUUAUUCACUUAAGUCCACAAAGACAGAAACACUGUCGGAGUAGGAACUGAAACCAAAUUAUUCUCCUCACCCUCUCCCAUUCUCUAAUCACUCAGCUCUGGCAGUGAUGGUGCUUGUGUAGGAAUUCAUGUAGUAGGUCUGCCUUUGCACGCUGGUCAUCAGUCAAGGAUGGGGUCACAGCAAAGGGUUGCAGCAAGGGCCAGAAGCUUCCAGCAGGCUACCAGUAAUAAACUCUGCCCACGCUGAUCCACCAGGUGUUGUCUCUCUGGUCAUCACCAUGAUAGGAAAACAAAAUUUAAAAAAAAGAAGUGGUAUUCUGCUGACAGCUUCCUUUAUUUCAGUCUCCAGGGUGGGUACAGCUUGGUAUAAGUAUGCGUCAUUGUAAAAGAGGAAUAUAGUUUGUCCCCCUUUAUUUUCUAAUGUAUUUACUGAUUCGGUACAUACAAUAAUACAGCUUUCUUUUCUACCUCAGCCCAUCUAGCUAGGAUGUUAUACUGCAUUUUAGUCACAUGAUAGACAUGCACCUCCACAUAUGAUAUAGGUGGAAUGAGAAGAGUAUGGGCUCUAGGAGGGCUGCACCAUAGACCAUGGUAUCAGAGGUCUAUGAAGAGCAGGAAGGGUCAUGUGCACUGUUUCAGCUCAGCAAAGCAAGUCAGCUCUCUUGACUUACAGACUUUAGGAAAUUAAAACACGUAAUGGCCUCUGACAAGGUUUCAGAAUGAAUGGCUUGUUUGUUUUUGCUAGAUGUUGGGAAUUCAUAUUGCUAUAUAGCUUUUUGUGUAUUUUUGUUAGUGUAUUUUUGUGUGAGUGAUGAUGUAGUAAGCCAGAAAUGGGUUGCUUCACUGCUGUGUUUCAGUUUCUCUUCAGCCAACAUUUGAAAAAUCCAAGAAACUUCAGGACAUGUUUAAUAGCCUGACUGAGCCAAGUUUUCACAUGUCUUGGUGUCUUCUUCAGGCAAGAGAAACAGAGUGAAACAACAACAGUUAUCUGGCUGCUUGCUAAUGCACAUUUCAUCAUUACAUUCAGAUAAACUAUACAAUUAAGUAAUGCAGGAGGUUUGUAAAGAUUAGAGAAUUAGGGACUAAACAUUCCUUGGUGGUCAGCUAUUCGUUAAGAAUUGAAGAGUAACUUUUUUGUGAUUCUGUUUCUGUAUGCCGAGUCUAUCAAGUAAAGACUACUGGAAAACAGAAAAGUGCUGCAA